rnacentral:rRNA from 1 species
UACGUAGGGUGCAAGCGUUAAUCGGAAUUACUGGGCGUAAAGCGUGCGCAGGCGGUUAUGUAAGACAGGUGUGAAAUCCCCCGGGCUUAACCUGGGAACUGCAUUUGUGACUGCAUAGCUAGAGUACGGUAGAGGGGGAUGGAAUUCCGCGUGUAGCAGUGAAAUGCGUAGAUAUGCGGAGGAACACCGAUGGCGAAGGCAAUCCCCUGGACCUGUACUGACGCUCAUGCACGAAAGCGUGGGGA